GGGCUCGGUCUGCAAAGGGUUACAACUCUCGGUGUGCAGCACUGGGGUAACGGAUACAGGCAGGAAAAGCAUGAGGGGAAAGCGUGGAUUGAAUCUGAAGGAACUGCAUAUGGAGAAUAAUUGUCUGCAGUACCUGCCCACAGCCAUCAGCUCAUUGAUACUUGCAGAUCCAUUGUGCAAACAUAUUGAACAAGACACUUUUCUUUGUGUGAUUUUAUGUUUGGUUUGUUGUUUUUCUUUUUCCAAAAGAACAUUGCUCUGUAUCAUCAGUGGGUCACAUGGAAUUAAAAAAAAUACAGGGCAAUAAUGAAGGAAAGGUGAUUCCUCAGUCUUUGAUUCUUUUAAACCUAAAUUAUUCCUCUCUUUCUGUAAUUCUGUAAUUUCUUCGUGAGCUGCUAUUUUUCCCAAACUAUUCUUCCAAACUAAAAAUUGACAUUUAAAGAUGUGUAGACAUUGUCAUUUACUUUUCUAAUCAAAGGUAUGGGGGACUAGUGUCCGCCUAGGUAAGAAAUUCCUCUUGAAAAACAUAAAACAGAGAAUAAGAGAAAAAUCAGAUGACUGACAGUUCAUCUUAGCUGCCAAUAAUGUAGUCUAAUCCAGAAUAAAAGGGGAUUUUGAAGAACAAAAUGCUUUUUGUACCAUGAAUAUACAUCAGUGACACCAUUCCAAAAGGCUUUUUGCUUUUACCCUUUUCCUCCAGGUAACAGGACUGUUCUCUCUUUUUCAGAUCCAAAGUUUGUGGUGUGGGUUGAUGAACCAGAAAGGGAUUGGAACUUUCUUGAUGCUUAAUAAUUUAAUAAAAAAAAAUAAUAAAGAGAGAGAGAGAGAAAGAAGGAAAAGAAAGAAAGGAAAAAAGAAAAGAAAAAGAGAAGACCAUUAAAAAAGUGAAAAUUGGGCAGUAAACUGCACAGAACUCUUUUCUUUUACAAGAUGGACAAAUGCGAGCAGAGAUAAGCAAGUGGGAGACAAGUACUAUUAAAGCAUCUGAAUCACUUUUGCACUGAACGUGUACAGGACAUACAAGAUGACAACUCUUUCUGGGAAAAUACUGCUGUGUUUUCCAUCUUUUCCUUUGAUUUAUGCGAAAACGUGCUCAGCCCAAGGAACAAGCCCCUCCUGAAUUGUGGUCUA